UCAAAUAUUACUGCUACCUAUUACAAUACUAAAAUACAUUAACACGACAUCAAAAUAUUAAAAAUGCAACUACAAUGUUGACUAGUUACUUUCUCACAUUCAUGAUUCAACAAGCUCAAAAGUCAGAACAUCCAACAAAGCCAACAAACAUUUCUGAUAGCAAAUAUUUAGAUACUCCCUUGAACAACAAAAAAAGGAACCAGUCACCCUUUCUUCAAAGAGAAUAGGUCUUAGUUAGGCUGGCAUGUC
rnacentral:lncRNA from 1 species